CCUGCCCCUAGAGGUGUGACAGAUAUGACUGGCAUCUCACAUGUGCAUCAGUAGGUGUCAGAGAGGAGAGAGGCCAUGCUUACUCUCAGUGUUCUGACUUAGGAACAUCUGAAUGAUUUGUAGCCUAACAUU
rnacentral:snoRNA from 1 species